UGCCAUGAUGCGCUCCGCAAUUCCCGCUGGGGAAGCGCCCGCUGACCAGGGCUUGUCUCCUGAGGUGGGAGCGUCCUGUUGCUCGGCGGAAGGUGAGCCCGGGACGGCGGGAGCCGCCUCCCGAGCCCCGAGGCGGGCUCCUGGUGCGGUGUGGGGAGCAGCCGGGGAGGCCUCCGCGAAGCCUGCCGUGGUCCCGGCUCCCCUCGGGGUGUAAAACUCCCCUCGUCGCCGUGGCUCCCUCAUAAAAACGGCCCCCAGGUUCACUGUUACCUUCGUGUAAGCCACCGAAGAAAGCGCCAUCGGUCCAUAGGAAGGUGCCAUCACUUGAUGUCUAAAAUCGUCUGUCAGAAGUUACAGUUGGAAGGCAUAGAGGCGUGUUGUCAAAGGGGAACUGGCAGCUGGUACGAAUUGCAAAGAAAUGAGAGGAAAAUUUCUCUUUUCACAACACGAAGUGUGAGGGAGAGUGUUUCCCAGUCGGUGUGGCAGUGUUCCAUUCGAAGGGCAGCGCGAUGAGGGCGACAUUCCUGACAGAAAAAAAGAUCCUUCUAAGUGGACAAAAAUGCGAAUAUAUAAGAAGCUGAACAGCAAAUUUCAAAUUUACAUUGGGCUUAAUUACUUUAUGAAUCUCAUCUAAGCAAUACAGAAACUGCAUCGGUAACAGAAGGGGAGAAACGCCCACCACCUGCCUGCCUGAAAGCUGUGGGACUCAUCCCACCAUGGCUUUGGUGACAGCUGGCAGGCCGUGGUCCAGCAGGGAGGAGGGCCUCCCUUACGCCACCUCCACCUCCCCUCGUCCCAAGGAGUGAACCUGUGGUGACAGCACCACUGCAAAAUAUCGCUGGUGACAGCAGGCAUCGGCCCGAGCUCAUCCUCCUGCGGAGGCUGGAACAAAGUUCUGACAAGAUGUGCGAUGCAAAAAGUAAAUCAUUAAUAUUUAUCGGACUGCUUUUCAGCUGCCUAGAAAUGAUCUCUUCAGCUGACACAGGUUUCUCUAUGUCUACGUACGAUGUGACAUCACGAAGCAUUUAUCUCAGAUGGCCCAAGUUUUCAGGAGCCUCUUCUUACAGAGUCACAGCUACAGCUGUGAAUACUGUGGGCCAUUCAUUACUGGCUCAUUUUAGUGAUGUUACGCUUAAAGGAACUCUAACUUCAUUAAUUCCCAAUACUAUUUAUGCUAUACAAGCGGAAGCCAUUGACAAGAAUGGAUUUAUUCUUGCAGAAACACAGAUCAUGCAGUCAACAGGUUAGUAAGAGAAACUUUGUGAAGUAUAAAUUCUAUUGACUGGAAAAUUAUAGGGGACUGGGAUUUUACCCUUGUUGUUUCAUUGCACCGGUAGGGAA
rnacentral:lncRNA from 1 species